CAUCGUCGGUGCACCGGGGAAAAUCUCGCGGAGUUUGUCUGAGAAUCUCACUCGUUCCUGAAUCCCGAAAUUGUGACUGGCCAAAUCAAGAUGCGCGUUUGCGGCGUGACCGACCGGGGAUACAUCGCCAGGCCCGUGCCAGGCGGUGCGUACGCCAAACCACUCAGCCAGGAUGGCAAUCUUGCGUGCGACGCUCAGCCCGGCGACCUGUGAAAUGUGUACCCUGAUAAAAUCUAUCAGACGGU
rnacentral:rRNA from 1 species